rnacentral:rRNA from 1 species
GUAGGGAAUAUUGGGCAAUGGGCGAAAGCCUGACCCAGCCAUGCCGCGUGAAGGAAGACGGCCUUAUGGGUUGUAAACUUCUUUACUACGCGAAUAGAGGUUAGUACGAGAUACUAAUAGGAAGGUAGUGUAGUAAAAAGCACCGGCUAACUCCGUGCCAGCAGCCGCGGUAAUACGGAGGGUGCAAGCGUUAUUCGGAAUUACUGGGUUUAAAGGGUGCGUAGGCGGUUAAAUAAGUUGUCAGUGAAAGGCUACGGCUCAACUGUAGUAGUGCUGGCGAUACUGUAUAACUAAGAACAUGGGAGGGGUACCUGGAAUGUGUGGUGUAGCGGUGAAAUGCGUAGAUAUCACACAGAACACCGGAGGCAAAGGCGGGGUACUAGACCAUAGUUGACGCUGAGGCACGAAAGCGUGGGGAUCAAACAGGAUUAGAAACCCCAGUAGUCC